rfam:Schistosoma rodhaini strain Burundi genome assembly, scaffold: SROB_scaffold0002904
AUCCAGCUGACGAGUCCCAAAUAAGACGAAGUAGCGCACGUCCUGGAU